rnacentral:rRNA from 1 species
UAAGACGAACCGUGCGAACGUUGUUCGGAAUCACUGGGCUUAAAGGGCGCGUAGGCGGCCCCGCCAGUCUCGGGUGAAAUCUUCCGGCCCAACCGGAAAACGGCCCGGGAUACUGCGGGGCUCGAGCGAGGCAGGGGCGGGGGGAACUUCCGGUGGAGCGGUGAAAUGCGUUGAUAUCGGAAGGAACGCCGGUGGCGAAAGCGCCCCGCUGGGCCUCUCCUGACGCUGAGGCGCGAAAGCCAGGGGAGCGAACGGGAUUAGAUACCCCGGUAGUCCUGGCCCUAAACGAUGGGCACUGGGUAGUGGGCUUUUCGGGGCUCACUGCCGCAGCGAAAGUGGUAAGUGCCCCGCCUGGGGAGUAUGGUCGCAAGGCUG